rnacentral:lncRNA from 1 species
GUAAUAACGGAUUGAGCGGUACGGGACAAGCAGUACAACUGCGGUGCGGUUCUAAUAGUUAUAAAAAUGUAUAAAUAUAUGGUAUAUGUAAAGAUUUUUGCUAUUAUUAACUGCGCUACGGUGCGAGGCCGAUUAAAACAUCCGGAGCCUUAAUAAAAUUAUACUAAAACCUGUUAAUUACGUAUUAAAAUAAAAUUAAACUAUAAUUUAAUGAGAUAUAUUCUAAUUUUGUAGUGAGAGAGAGACGAGCUCCCAACUUCUCACUAGAAAAAGGUUUCAGAAAACAGUUGACUCACGGUGGCCGGUGGCUUUGCCGCCGGUUACCAUCCUCUUCUUUUUUUUUUCUUUGUGUUUCAUCUUGUAAGUUUGUUUGUCCGUGUCUCUGUUGAUCUCUUUCCGGCAUCGUUGGCUCUGUUGAGUUUGCAUGUCCGGGUUCGUUCCAGUAUCGCACCUUCUUAUGGUGGAUGACUGGCUUUUGACUCUGGGGCCGUGUCGUCUUCUUCGGUGUUGGUCGCCGGCUAUCGUAUCCAAUCGUCUGUAGGUGUACGCAAGAGUUUUCUUUCUCGUGUGUGGGUGUCUUCGUGUUUGGUGGCUUGGCUUUGGAUGAGAUCUCGGUGAUUGAUACUCUCCGAUGGACGAGCACAAGCGUAGACGGUGUAGCUGAUGGAGUCCCAAACUUCCAAUAUAGUCGUUGGAAGGCUUUGUUGGCUGUGGUCUUGUUUCCCGAAAGAUUCUGGUGGUUAGCAGUUUGGGUUGGAUCGGUGACGACCUUCUGUCGGUGAAGAUGGUGGAGGAUUGUAACAACACGUGUCCCUCUUUCCAUGUUUAUUUUAACACGUUUCAUAGUAUCGGCGGCACCGUUUGUUUGUGUUCUGUGUGUUAGGGUAGACCAAUGUUGGGCCUCUGUUUUUUAGUUUAUGAUUUGGGUUUGUUGCUGGUGGGCCUUUCUUUUUGGGUUUGUAUGUUUGAAACCUCAAUAAAAUUUUAACUAGCGAAAAAAAAAAUUAAACUAUAAUUUAUCAAUUACACAUACAAUAAUAGGAACUGUGUUAUGGAUGACACAAAGGCAUGCUACUAAAUAGUAGAGUCCUAGUAGCACAAUACAAGCUUCUAGUGUGCAUACGAC